rnacentral:rRNA from 1 species
AUUGAACGCUGGCGGCAGGCCUAACACAUGCAAGUCGAGCGGUAGCACAGAGAGCUUGCUCUCGGGUGACGAGCGGCGGACGGGUGAGUGAUGUCUGGGAAACUGCCUGAUGGAGGGGGAUAACUACUGGAAACGGUAGCUAAUACCGCAUAACGUCGCAAGACCAAAGUGGGGGACCUUCGGGCCUCAUGCCAUCAGAGGUGCCCAGAUGGGAUUAGCUAGUAGGUGGGGUACCGGCUCACCUAGGCGACGAUCCCUAGCUGGUCUGAGAGGAUGACCAGCCACACUGGAACUGAGACACGGUCCAGACUCCUACGGGAGGCAGCAGUGGGGAAUAUUGCACAAUGGGCGCAAGCCUGAUGCAGCCAUGCCGCGUGUGUGAAGAAGGCCUUCGGGUUGUAAAGCACUUUCAGCGGGGAGGAAGGCGGUGAGGUUAAUAACCUCAUCGAUUGACGUUACCCGCAGAAGAAGCACCGGCUAACUCCGUGCCAGCAGCCGCGGUAA